UCGGCGUUGGGGCUUGGCGGGGAGCUGGACCCCAGGUCUCUCAGAAGCCGCGGAGCCCCAGGGCACCCGCUCGGCUCGGGAAGAGCAGAGGUGGAAAGGGAAAGCAAUGUCAAGUGCUUAAAAGGAGAUCUGAACGGACCCAGAGUUUCCUGGUUGUGACAGCAGCCUUGGUGCAGUGGGCCAGAUUUUAGUCUCAGGACUGCAACCUGCAACCCCUAGACGUAUCUUCCCUGAAAUCUGCUUUGUCUGAAAUUCAUAAAAGAACUCUUUUUUUGGCCAUGCCACGCAACAUGUGGGAUCUCAGUUCCCUGACCAAGCAUUGAACCUGUACCGUCUUCUGUGGAAGCACAGAGCCUUAACCACUGGACCACCAGGGAAGUGUCUGGCAGUUUUAUUCUUAUAUAAAUAUCCCUUUGAACUGGUUUUAACAUCUGAUUGGUUCCCUUAUUAACUGUAAGUUGAACAGAAUCUUUGAUAUGCAUACUUUGCAUUUACACACCAUGAUCUUACCUUGGAAAGAAAAACCUGUUGAAAUUCACAUAACAAAAUUAACCAUUUUAAAGGGAUUCAGUAGAAAACAGUACAUUCACAAUGUUAUACAAUCAUCACAUGGAUCUAGUUCUAUAACAUUUUUAUCACCCCAAACUAAAACCCCUUAUCCAUUAAAUAGUAACUUUCAUUCCCUCCUUCCCCCCCAGCAAAGCACCAGUCUGCUUUUUUUCUCUUGGCUUCACCAGUUCUGGGUAUUUCAUGUAAUGGAAUCAUACCAUAUAUGAUCUUUCCUAUCUGACUUAUUUUCACUUGGCACGUUUCAAGGUUCCUCCUCACCACAGUAUAUAUCGGUAUUCCUAACAUGGUUCUUUUCUAGCAUUUACUGUAAGUGUGGUCAAGGAUCGGUUCUCAAAGUGUAAUACAUGGGUCAGCAGCAUCUGCAUCACUUGAGAACGUGUUAGAAAUUAAAAUUCACUGGAACUGUAAGAUUAAAUGUCACAGAAACUCUGGGGGUGGGGCCAGCAAUCCAUGUUGGAACACGCCUUACAGGUGAUUCACAGGUGUGCUGAGAAACCCCUUAGUCAAAACACAAUUAAGAUACAGCCUAUCACCAACCCCAAAUCAGGAAGAAUCCAGGGGGAAAAGCCAACCAGUUGCAAUGUACAAAAUGUCUUCUCAUUGCUUAAAAACAGGAUUAGAGAGGUAACAUGAUUUUGAAAGAAAAAAGGUAAUUAUCUGUGGCUUUUUGUUAUAAACAGUAAAAGAAUUGAAAAAAGAAAUGAUCUUUUAAAGUAUGAGUUUUAUUCUCCAGGUUUUCUUAAAUACCACAAAUUAGUGCUUUUAUUGCAGCUAUAUCCAGAAGCUGAAAACAAUUUAAAAUACGUUCUUUUAUCAUACAUUAAACACUUGUAAGAGACAGAAUGGAACGGUAUGAAUUUUAGAGAUGAGUUUUUCGAGGCAAUAAAAAGCAUAUGGAAAUUGAAUUACAGAAAUGACUGAAAGCAUAAAUCAUAUAGAAAUAAAAGGGUGAAAGGUGUUUCAUUAAAAAAGAAAAAAGUCCCUUGUUACCUCUCCUGCUGGUUAGUAACCUAAUGAAAACAUUAAGGCAAGUAUUCUCUGUAUUAAAACCAAGUGGUUCUAUCCUUUCCAUGCAGCUUUAAGUCAGAAAUUGCGGGGGUGGGGCGCGGGGGGGGUGGGGGGAGGUGGCAGGAUUUUAGGUUCUAAACAUCCCAAAUAUUUUACUGCCUUAGGCUAAUGGAUCUUUUUAACACUAAGAAAUUGGUAGUAAUUCUUGUUUGCUUGGACAGAAAAAAUAAAAAAAUGGGUGAGCAGUUAACCAAAUCAAGUGGGAUUUAGUCACUGGGGCACACUUAAAGUGGCCCCAAAUGAGAACACACAAAAAGCUUAGUCUGAGGGUAUGUUAAAAUAAAAAACAAAGGAGAGGAGCACUUGAGAUCUUUAUAGCAACAUAUUUGGCCAAAUAGUCAAGGUUUGGCACGUAUGAGGGGAAUGAGUCCCUAGAAAGAUGAAAUUAGUGAAGAUAUUCAAAUUAGUUCCAAUUCAGUUUACAAACUAACAAUACAAAAUGAUUUUAUUUUCCAUCCUUUCCAUUCAAAAGAAAAUUAAAAACCAUAUUCUUAGUGCUAAUGUUUCUGAGCUUGGCAUAUUUUUGGUUAGUUUUUAAAGAUGUGUUGUGUGCUGUGCUUAGUCGCUCAGUCGUCCAACUCUGUCCAUGGGGAUUCUCCAGGCAAGAAUACUGGAGUGGGUUGCCAUGCCCUCCGGGGGAUCUUCCCAACCCAGGUCUCCAACAUUGCAGGCAGAUUCUUAACCAUCUAAGCUAUAUGUGAUAACAAAGGUUAUUAAUGUGGCCAAUACAUUAAAUUUCUAAAGAAUAAGAUUGAUAUUAUGUUAUUAUUCACUGAUGACUCAACAAAAAUAAUAUUCAACAAUUGCUCCCAGCCCUGGGAUCAUGAAAUAGAAUAAUUUAGUGACCAUUAAAUGGAAAAUGAAUUAUGAAAACUGUUGUUUCCAGAAUGUCUUUCCCCUCCCCUCUUCACUUGUAUUAAGAAAAAAAAGACCUUUUACUUUCUUUAGAUACAUUUUAAAUAACCUAACCUUUUCCCCCAUUUUCACUGAAAUCAAAUUUUAAAACUUCUAAAAUUUGCUCAUAGUAAGUGAUCUCAGAUGUUUCUUUUGACAAUAAAGCUACUUCUGUUUAAAUAGUUUUUUAAAAACUGUCAAGACUAUAUCAUUUGCCAAGAGGGUGCCAAGAGUCUUUCUGGGUCAUUUUUAAUGCAUUUUAGCUUGUUACCUAGUGUGCAUAUCAUGGAAUUCUCUCCUAUGAGGAGAGAAUGAAAUUGCAGCACUGAUGAGGUAAUCAGACAUGGAAGUUAAAGCCACAAGGAGUUAGAAAAAUGACUGUGUAUUAAACUUAGUCAAUACAGUUAGUUCAACAACUGGCCAAGUCAGGGAAAGGGAAAAUACUGCGAUUCAAACAGCUUGACUCAAAAAAAUAAAAAAAGAGUCUAUAGCCUACCAGAUAGCUCUGUACACAAUCUAGAGACUUUCUGCCACAAUACUAAAAUACAGAUUCUUCACAAAUCACAACUUUAUCCCAAAUGUUCUUACAGGUUCUAUGUUGCUUUUAAAUUCUACUAAAUAAUCAAUAGCUUUACAACAAAAUUUAUUUUAUUUUAAAAAACACAUUUAAAUCACUAUCCCACAAAAUGUUUAGAAACACGGGUAACCAUGGAAAGUAAACGUGCAUAGACUGCUUUUAUUAUAAUAAUUACGGUUGUUAGCUGAAUGAAAACAAAUUGUAGCUAAAAAGGUUUCAAAUGACAGAAAAAUGUAUUUAGGUAAGUUAUGACAAUUUUUUGAGUACUCAGAUGAUGAAAUGUAUUGUGUAUUUCUGCACCAAAUGCAAAGUUAACAAUGAAAUUAAGGUACUAAAAGGUCAAAAGGGGCCUCAAACAUAUUCACUAUCUUUUAAAUUUUAGACAAAAGAGCUGAGAAUAGAAAAGAAAA